rnacentral:rRNA from 1 species
AGAGUUUGAUCCUGGCUCAGAACGAACGCUGGCGGCGCGUCUUAAGCAUGCAAGUCGGGCGGGAUCCAUGCGCUUGCGCAUGGUGAGAGCGGCGGACUGGCGAGUAACACGUGGGCGACGCGCCCUCCGGACGGGAAUAGCCUGUAGAUAUACAGGGUAAUGCCGGAUGCGAACGCGCGCGCUGGAGGCGCGCGUGGAAAGCCCCCACGGGGGCGCCGGAGGAGCGGCCCGCGGCCCAUCAGCUUGUAGGCGGUGCAAGGGACCACCUAGGCUACGACGGGUACCCGGCCUCAGAGGGCGGACGGGCGCAUUGGGACUGAGAUACGGCCCAGACUCCUACGGGAGGCAGCAGCUAUGAAUAUUCCGCAAUGGGGGGAACCCUGACGGAGCGACGCCGCGUGGGCGAGGAAGGCCGGAAGGUUGUAAAGCCCUUUUGCGCGCGAGGAAUAAGGGGAGGAGGGAAUGCCUUCCCGGUGACUGUAGCGCGCGAGUAAGCGCCGGCUAAUUACGUGCCAGCAGCCGCGGUAACACGUAAGGCGCGAGCGUUGUUCGGAAUCAUUGGGCGUAAAGGGCGUGUAGGCGGCCCUGCAAGCCUGGCGUGAAAUCCCGGGGCUCAACCCCGGAACCGCGCUGGGAACUGCUGGGCUGGAGCCGCUGUGGCGCAGCCGGAAUUCCAGGUGUAGGGGUGAAAUCUGUAGAUAUCUGGAAGAACUCCGAUUGCGAAGGCAGCUAUCCGGGGUACGACUGUCGCUGAGGCUCGAAAGUGCGGGUAUCGAACAGGAUUAGAUACCCUGGUAGUCCGCACAGUAAACGAUGGAUACUCGUGGUUGGCGAUAGAUGGUCAGCCACCAAGCGAAAGCGUUAAGUAUCCCACCUGGGGAGUACGCCGGUAACGGUGAAACUCAAAGGAAUUGACGGGGGCCCGCACAAGCGGAGGAACAUGUGGUUUAAUUCGAUGAUACGCGAGGAACCUUACCCGGGCUUGAAUUGCAUGGGACAGCAUCAGAGAGGAUGUUUUCUUCGGACCCAUGUGAAGGUGCUGCAUGGUUGUCGUCAGCUCGUGCCGUGAGGUGUCGGCUUAAAUGCCAUAACGAGCGCAACCCUUUUUCUCGGUUGCCAUCAGGUAAUGCUGGGCACUCCGUGAGUACUGCCAUCGCAAGAUGCGAGGAAGGUGGGGAUGACGUCAAAUCAGCACGGCCCUUACGUCCGGGGCUACACACGUGUUACAAUGGCCGGUACAGAAGGCAGCGCCCUGGUGACAGGAAGCCAAUCCCAAAAUCCGGUCUCAGUUCGGACUGGAGUCUGCAACCCGACUCCACGAAGCUGGAUUCGCUAGUAAUCGCGGAUCAGCAUGCCGCGGUGAAUACGUUCCCGGGCCUUGCACACAAAGCCCGUCA